rnacentral:misc_RNA from 1 species
GCAAACUUGGUCAUUUAGAGGAAGUAAAAGUCGUAACAAGGUUUCCGUAGGUGAACCUGCGGAAGGAUCAUUAAAAAAAAAAGACAAGAGCCGCCGGGAAACCGGUGCGCUUGAGUUUUAAACCCUCUGUGUACCUUUACCACUGUUGCUUCCCGUCUGGGCUCUGCCCGGGCGGGGAGGUCCAACCAAACUCUUGUUUUUUUUGUUGCAGUCAGUAUGAGCGGCUUGUCCGCGAUAAAUUAAAAGUUAAAACUUUCAACAACGGAUCUCUUGGUUCUCGCAUCGAUGAAGAACGCAGC